ACAAUGCGGGACUAUCAGUCUUGCAAUUGGAUUGAGAACAAUGUACAACUCUUAUCGAUAAGCCAUUGGAGGGCAAGUCUGGUGCCAGCAGCCGCGGUAAUUCCAGCUCCAAUAGCGUAUAUUAACGUUGUUGCAGUUAAAAAGCUCGUAGUUGAAGUGUGGGUGAUCGCUGUUGUGAGACUUCGGUCUCUCGACAGUAAGUCACCCCCUUCCAGUAUCCAGUAGUGGGUAUUCAGUUACUUACUAUUGUGUGUUGGUCAUUUACUGUGAGAAAAUUAGAGUGUUCAAAGCAGGCGUUUGCUUGAAUAGAUUAGCAUGGAAUAAUAAUUGAAGGCUUUCGUGUUCGAUUUGAUUGGUUUGUUCAUGGAAGCAAGGUUAAAAGGAACAGUUGGGGGUAUUCAUAUUCACUAGUUAGAGGUGAAAUUCUCGGAUUUAUGGAAGAUGAACAA
rnacentral:rRNA from 1 species